rnacentral:rRNA from 1 species
CCUACGGGCGGCAGCAGUGAGGAAUAUUGGUCAAUGGACGAGAGUCUGAACCAGCCAAGUAGCGUGAAGGAUGACUACCCUAUGGGUUGUAAACUUCUUUUAUAUGGGAAUAAAAUGUUCCACGUGUGGGAUUUUGUAUGUACCAUAUGAAUAAGGAUCGGCUAACUCCGUGCCAGCAGCCGCGGUAAUACGGAGGAUCCGAGCGUUAUCCGGAUUUAUUGGGUUUAAAGGGAGCGUAGGUGGAUUGUUAAGUCAGUUGUGAAAGUUUGCGGCUCAACCGUAAAAUUGCAGUUGAAACUGGCAGUCUUGAGUACAGUAGAGGUGGGCGGAAUUCGUGGUGUAGCGGUGAAAUGCUUAGAUAUCACGAAGAACUCCGAUUGCGAAGGCAGUUCACUGGACUGCAACUGACACUGAGGCUCGAAAGUGUGGGUAUCAAACAGGAUUAGAUACCCCUGUAGUC